rnacentral:rRNA from 1 species
UACGUAGGGUGCAAGCGUUGUCCGGAAUUAUUGGGCGUAAAGAGCUCGUAGGCGGCUUGUCGCGUCGACCGUGAAAACUUGGGGCUCAACCCCAAGCCUGCGGUCGAUACGGGCAGGCUAGAGUUCGGUAGGGGAGACUGGAAUUCCUGGUGUAGCGGUGAAAUGCGCAGAUAUCAGGAGGAACACCGGUGGCGAAGGCGGGUCUCUGGGCCGAUACUGACGCUGAGGAGCGAAAGCGUGGGAAGCGAACAGG